ensembl:ncRNA F53H10.4 ncRNA
CUUUUUCAGGCGGCAGGAGAAAAAAAGAAGGAAAUAUUGAAGAAAGAUGAAAAGAAAAAGAGACAAGCUUUGAGACUGGGGCAGACAUAUAGACAUACUCCUCACGCCCUCUUUCCCUUUUUCUCUUCACUCUC